rnacentral:tRNA from 1 species
GCCUUCGUGGUGUAACGGUUAACACACUUGGGGCAUAUUCGAGAUGCACAGGUUCGAGUCCCGGCGAGGGCU